rnacentral:lncRNA from 1 species
AAUGGAGAGUCCGAUGGCCGACCACAGCGAGUAGCGUCCUCCCACCCACUAGGAGAGACAGGACAAGGUGCUGAGGGAGGGCCGGCACACCCCGCCCCCCACCUCCUGCCGGAAACCCUGUCCCUGGUCUUGCACAGGGGCGUCUCGGAGGGCCCUGGCCCAACCCACCUCCAGGAAGCAAGGCAGCAGGCAGGUGCUGGCAACACAUGGGAAGACCAACAGGGCAGACUACAGAUGACUGACCACAGCCACAAGACAAACUGAAGAGCUUACCGUGGUCUUCCCUGAGAUGUCGGGCCCUGUCUCUGCAGACACCAGCAGACCCAGGACCUCAUACCUGUGCCAGGGCCCACCUCCUCAGACACGGACACACCCAGGGCCUCAUACCUGCGCCAGGGCCCACCUCCUCAGACACGGACAGACCCCAGGCCUCAUACCUGUGCCAGGGCCCACCUCCUCAGACACGGACACACCCAGAUCCUCAUACUCAUACCAGAUCCUACCUCCUCAGAUAUUGAAAGACUCAGGUCUUCAUACCUGUAUCAGAUGCUACCUCCUCAGACAUUAACAGACCCAGAUCCUCACACCUGUACCAGAUCCUACCUUCUCAGACAUUGAAAGACCCAGAUCCUUAUACCUGCACCAGAUCCUACCUCCUCAGACAUGAACAGAACCAAAUCCUCAUACUCAUGCCAGAUCCUACCUGCUCAGACAUGGACAGACCCAGAUCCUCAUACCAGGACCCGAUCCCACCUCCUCAGAUACUGAUGGACACAGAUCCUCAUACUUGUACCCAGCCUCACUUCCCCAGACACUAGAAGACUCAGGGCUUCAUACCUGUGCCAGAUGCUAUCUCCUCAGGCACUGGAAGCCCAAGGGCCUCAAACCUGAGUCCAAACUCACCUCCUCAAACACUGGAAGACGCAGAUCCUCAUAUCUGUGCCAGGUGCUACCUCCUCAGACAUGGAAGACCCAUAUCCUCAUACCUGUGCCAGGUGCUACCUACUCAGACACGGGAAGACCCAGAUCCUCAUACCUGUGCCAGGUGCUACCUCCUCAGACACAGGAAGACCCAGAUCCUCAUACCUGUGCCAGGUGCUACCUCCUCAG